rnacentral:lncRNA from 1 species
CGGCUUUGGAACCGAACUGCAAAGAGAAAAUUUUCCUGGCACUGUCUUCAAGGAGAAAUUCAUCAAGCGGGCCUUUAUAUAACAAACAUGAGGUGGCAAAUACUACAGGAAUAUUCUCCAGUGUACUGCAGUCCUUACAAGUCUGCUGGGCAUGUUGGAAUUUUUCACAGCUGAUGCACUGCACUUCCUUUACUUUGAAACGAUCUAACUGAUGAUAUUCAUUGGUAUCAUGAUAGAGCCAGCAAGUAUAAAGCUUGUAAUAACAAGGUGCCUUGAGACAGGCUCUGUCAUAG